GUCCCGAUAGUUCAAUGGAUAGAACACAGACCUCCUAAGUCUGGGAUACAGGUUCGAUUCCUGUUCGGGGCACCA
rnacentral:tRNA from 2 species